UAGGGGUGUUUAAAGGCAGGCAGAUCCAAUUUUCUGCCACCGAAUACAUUAGCAUGGGAUAAUGGAAUAGGACCCUGUCCUCCUAUUUUCAGUUGGUUUUGGCAGCGCGAGGACUAGGGUAAUGAUUAAUAGGGAUAGUUGGGGGCAUUAAUAUUUAAUUGUCAGAGGUGAAAUUCUUGGAUUUAUGAAAGAUUAACUUCUGCGAAAGCAUCUGCCAAGGAUGUUUUCAUUAAUCAAGAACGAAAGUUAGGGGAUCGAAGACGAUCAGAUACCGUCGUAGUCUUAACCAUAAACGAUGCCGACCAGCGAUUAGGAGACGUUGAAUACAAAACACCACCAUCGGCGCGGUCGUCCUUGGCGUCGGUGUUUCCCGGCGCGGGCGCGGGGGGGUCAGCCCGCUGGGGCCCGUGAAUGACUCCCUACCUGCUUGUGAGAAAAAA
rnacentral:rRNA from 1 species